GAUUGAAAGAAAAAGAAAAAUGAUAACAAUAUUAUUAUUAUUUUCUCUCUCCUCUUUCUCCUCUCCUUUAUGCUUCCCCUACUUCGCACGCAAUUUCCACCCCCUCACUUACGGUAACUUCUUCUCCUCUCUUUCUUCUUUUUCUCCCUCUCUCUCCCACUUUUCCACCCCCUCACCUACUCUUCUGCUGCAAUUUCCCUGCAACUUCCCCUCCCUUUUUUUUUUUUUUUAUUGUUUCUCUCUCUCACUUUCCUCCCUUCCUCCUCUCGACAACCCCAUUCUCACGUCCCUCUCCUUCUUCACUUUUUCUCUUUAGUGUCUUUUCCGUGCUAUCCUGUCCCAAACCAGCCACCAUCUUGCGCCAUGGCCAUGGACCAUCACUGUCCGCAAGCCGCCAUCCACCGCCAACGAGCCGCACCACCCAUCUGCGAGCCGUCCACCCGCCGUUCUUGCCAAAUCAGAAACCACCUCCUCCAAGACCCACUUUUGCCGAGUGCCUCCAUGGCAUUUUGGAUGUAACCAUGCGUAGCCCUCGCCACCACCAUCGCGCUCAUGUUAUCAGAACUCCUAAUCCUUUUGAUUAGUGCCUAAACUUGCUUAGGAGGUUGAUUAGGUUUAAGAUUGGUUUAGGAUGGCUUAAAUAGAGACUAGUAAUGAUUUAUAAUAGUUAGAUUAGUAUUAGAAUGGGUUAAUAUUAGUCAAAUCAGGGAGAUUUGCAUCGUUGGGGAUGAUUUGGGUGAAAAUAGAGGCUGUUCUUUAGAACUGGUUCCUGGAUGUCUGCUGUUUGUGAUUUUUGUAGAUUGAAAUCAGUCGCGCAUCUGAAGCCAAUGUCUUCUAGAUAAAUAUUUUAGAUUUCUCAAGAUACAACAUAUAUUUUCUCAAUAUUUUUAAGGACUCAUAAGCAGGAGAUAUUAGCUCCGCCAUUUUCGAACAGAACUGUAAUUUUCGCUGGAACUGGUGACCUUUUAAAUUCUAGGGGUUUUUUUUUACUCUUGGAGUUCGAAUUUUAAAAUGGUUUCUUCACAAAAAUUGUUUUUCACCUCUUAUAGUUUAACAUACUCAAAUUUCAAAUCAAACUGAUGUGUUUAAGAUCUCGAACCAAACUGAUUUCGGAAAACUGACUUUCUGAGAAAGGACCUAAUUUUGGCGCUGGAUUGAGUGAUUUACUGGGCCGAAUCGAGAAGGAUCUGGGUUUAGAUGUUUUCAUGAAAAAUGUUUUUUACGGGUCCUUUACAACAUAUUCAAAUUUGAGAAUUUUCUAAGCUCGAUUGGUUAGGUUUCUGGAUUUAAACUUGGAGAUGCGCGAAGGCCCAGUUUCUACUAAUUAGGACCGAUGUUAGUUUGGUGAUGGUUCUUGAUGCUUUGCUUGUUUUAAUUAAUGUUUUUAAUGACUUGUGAAUUUAAUUUAUUAGUUACUUAAUUAUGGAAUUUCACUGUUCACAAGUUAUUGUUCACACGACACUGUUCAUGAAACACUGUUCACAUGCACUGUUCACUAGAGAAUGAAAAAUGAUCUAAUUUCAUGUGUAUUGAUUUUAUGAAGUGAAUGAAUGUAUAAAUACAUGGACAUCCGCGUGAAUUGAGUGAUGUUUUGUGCAAUAGUAUAGUGAUUGAAGACUGUUGGUAUUUAAUUAGAAAAUACUGGGUGUCAGGUUUUGGAUGUCGAAAGUGUUUUUAAAUACUAUACCAAACUGUGGGAUUUUAAAAGAGAUGACACAAAUUUUCUAGUUCGAUCUAACCGUGUCCCCACACUCAAUUAUUUUACCAUAUAUUUCUAAUAUGAAGAAAAUAGGCCGGGAUCACCAUUUUAAUUGAGGUAUUUGAGUGCAAUGCACGGUAUCCUAAGCCGAUAUUGAAUAAAUGCAUGAAUAAUAUGAGAUGCCGUCACGAGCCUUUGGUGCUAGACGAUGCUCCUUCGGGAAUGCCCCACAUCAACGGAUGCCGAUCACAGUGGAUGCUAGGCCGAUACUCCUUCAGGAAUGCCCCACGUCAACAGAUGCCGGUCACAGUGGAUGCUGGGUCGAUGCUCCUUCGGGAAUGCCUUACGUUAACGGAUGCCGGUCGCAAUGGAGGCUAGGCCGAUGCUCCUAUAUGGAAUGCCGUCUAGAUGUAGACGUUGCCGUGCUCGAUGGUGUGAGACGAUGCCCAGUUAUGCCAGAAGAUUGUUAUCUGUUGUAUUGACUAGGAUCCAUGUGAUUGAUCGAUGUGUGCUGUGUGGCGCCUUAAUGUGUAAGAAUGCAUGAGAAUCAUGGAUCAUUAGUUCUAGUCAUGCAUGAGUUGAGCACACUGUUUAUGGCACACACGCACGGAUCGAUAACGCGUUUCACAUAUGCUUCCGCUAUACUAAGAACAAAGCCUUGAAGGGGUGGCCUGGGAUGGCGGUUCAUUUGCGCCAGUGCAGGGCCCAAAAAGGACAAUACUAGGCUGGGAUGAGGGAUGGCGGUGCGUCCACGCCUCUACCUCAAACAACGCGUUUGUGUGGCAAUAGCCAGGUCCCAGUGUGAAGAACUUGGAGCUUGAAGCUGAAGGGUCAGGAGCAUAGGUGGCUCAGUAGUCCUUUAUGAGAUAGACCUUCUGUAUAAGCUUGGGGUGUUUAUGAAAUUGUAUUUGAUUUGAAA